rnacentral:rRNA from 1 species
AGUGAACGCUGGCGGUAGGCCUAACACAUGCAAGUCGAACGGCAGCACAGUAAGAGCUUGCUCUUACGGGUGGCGAGUGGCGGACGGGUGAGGAAUACAUCGGAAUCUACUUUUUCGUGGGGGAUAACGUAGGGAAACUUACGCUAAUACCGCAUCCGACCUACGGGUGAAAGCAGGGGAUCUUCGGACCUUGCGCGAUUGAAUGAGCCGAUGUCGGAUUAGUUAGUUGGCGGGGUAAAGGCCCACCAAGGCGACGAUCCGUAGCUGGUCUGAGGGGAUGAUCAGCCACACUGGAACUGAGACACGGUCCAGACUCCUACGGGAGGCAGCAGUGGGGAAUAUUGGACAAUGGGCGCAAGCCUGAUCCAACCAUACCGCGUGGGUGAAGAAGGCCUUCGGGUUGUAAAGCCCUUUUGUUGGGAAAGAAAAGCAGCAGGUUAAUACCCCGCUGUUCUGACGGUACCCAAAGAAUAAGCACCGGCUAACUUCGUG